rnacentral:misc_RNA from 1 species
UAUAUAUAUUACCUAUGGAAAAUUAGGAAAAUGGUGAGGAAGAUAUUUCUUGUAAUCGCGUGUCUGUUUCUGCAUAUGAUAUCCGCUGGGAUGAGCCUCUCAUUUGGCGUUUUAUACAGGGAAAUGAGGAUAGAGUUCGGGUCAAGUCAGUCAGAAGCGGCCUGGAUCGCGUCUAUUUUCAACGGAUUGCUAGGACUUUUAGGUAUUCCACUGAGUUUUAUUACUAACAAGAUAGGUGAGAGAUGGCCGGCUGUGUGUGGUUCGGUACUUCUAUCACUUGGCAUGCUGACAAGUAUAUUUGCAACCAAAAUGAGCAAUGUGUAUAUGACAUACGGGUUACUUGCAGGUUUAGGCGCUGGAAUAUCACAUUACUGCGGAUAUACUGUCCUGACACCUCACUUUGACAACACAUGGCGCCCUGUGGCAAUGACUGUCGCCGGUGCUGGAAUUCCACUGAGUGCUUUGAUAUUACCGCCUGUCCUAACAAUACUGAUAGAACAAUUUGAUUGGAGGAAAGCUUUCAUGUUUCUCGCAUGCUUAUCAUUUCUUGGGAUACCAGCAGGUCUUAGUUUCUUUCCACUGAAACUACACAUAGACUCCGAGUCAGAAUCAAGUCGUGGCCAACAAAACAGUUGGAAGUUAUCUCUAUCAAGAUGUCUAAAAAACCUUAACUACAUGUUAUACUUUGUGACAACGUGUGUAGUAUUUCUCGUUUUUUUUUGCUCCUGCAACAUUUUUAUCGGACCUUAUGCAUGAAUUCGGUAGAAGUUCGAGUGACGUGUAUAUCUGUUUGAUGACAAUGGGAGCUUGUGACCUGGUUGGUAGAUUGCUGUCUGGAGUUUUGGUGCACAAGAUGCCGAGUAAGUUGGCAUUAAUUCACAGCGCCGGCAUAAUGAUUCUGAGUGUGUCAUCAGGUCUCAUUGCGUUAUCGAGAUCUAUUGGAACUUUCGUUCUCAUGUCAGCAUUUGUUGGUUUAGGUACAGGUUGUUUUGCUGGAUUACACUUCGUCAUGUCCGCUCAUUUACUUCCUAUUGUAGACGUCAGAUUCGGUUAUGGCUUUGUUUCGACUUUUGGGGGAUUGUCACUUGUAGCGGGGAUGCCUCUUGCAGGAUUUGUAAGCGAUUUCUUCAAGACAGAAAGGGGAGCAUUUAUUUUUUCAAGUGCGCUGUUAUUUAUCGGUUCCUUGCUUGAACUCAUAAUUGGAGUUAGGCAAGUAUGUGGACAGAAAUCAAGGAAGUCAUAUGUUAUGGCAUCUGUGGAAAAUACUGCAUACGUUACAGGUGAAGAGCUUCAAGUUCAUAGUAAGAAAAGAGAUGAUGUUGUCGUUGUUGAUUCUUCGUAUAUUUGACUGUAUGAGAAAAGCAAUAUAGAUUCUAUGCACAUGUAUGUUGUAAUUGUUCUUAAGUUAGGCGGAAUUAAUAUAUAAUUGUAUAAUAUCUAUGCUGCCUUUUAAUUUCUGUUCUUAUUGCAUGUAUCUAUAUUGAAUACAACAUUUUAUGCAUUCAUUUGCCUGUAUUUCAUAUG